rnacentral:rRNA from 1 species
AACUUAAAGGAAUUGACGGGGCCCGCACAAGCGGAGGAACAUGUGGUUUAAUUCGAUGAUACGCGAGGAACCUUACCUGGGCUUAAAUGGGGAGUGACAGCUGUCGAAAGAUGGUUUUCUUCGGACACUCUUCAAGGUGCUGCAUGGUUGUCGUCAGCUCGUGCCGUGAGGUGUCGGGUUAAGUCCCAUAACGAGCGCAACCCUUACCGUUAGUUACCAUCAGGUUAAGCUGGGGACUCUAGCGGGACUGCCACCGUAAGGUGAGAGGAAGGUGGGGAUGACGUCAAAUCAGCACGGCCCUUAUGUCCAGGGCUACACACGUGUUACAAUGGCCGGUACAAAGGGCAGCUACUUCGCGAGAAGAUGCUAAUCUCGAAAGCCGGUCUCAGUUCGGAUCGAAGUCUGCAACCCGACUUCGUGAAGCUGGAUUCGCUAGUAAUCGCGCAUCAGCCAUGGCGCGGUGAAUACGUUCCCGGGCCUU